rnacentral:lncRNA from 10 species
UUGACGUCCUGCAUUCAUCAUGUGAUUAUCCUUGUCCCGCUCGUCAGCGGCGGAAUGAGACAGAACAACUUGACCUCGCCCAUCAGGACUGGAGAGGUCGUUGUUGGGAUUAGAAACCCAGAAGGGCUGUGGUCUCAGAGGAUCGAUUUUGUCCAUGAAGUGGCAGGAAGAAUCUGUUGGGUGAUUAUGCUCUCCUCCUUCCUGUAAAUGAAAAGUAAAAUUCUAAGGCCCUCAACUGACUGAGUGGACCCUUCUCUAGGCCAAGGGGACCCAAAG